GCAGUGGUGGUUCAGUGGUAGAAUUCUCGCCUUCUAUGCAGGAGAUCCAGGUUCGAUUCCUGGCCAACGCA